rnacentral:rRNA from 1 species
GAUGAACGCUGGCGGCGUGCCUAAUACAUGCAAGUCGAGCGAACAGACGAGGAGCUUGCUCCUCUGACGUUAGCGGCGGACGGGUGAGUAACACGUGGAUAACCUACCUAUAAGACUGGGAUAACUUCGGGAAACCGGAGCUAAUACCGGAUAAUAUAUUGAACCGCAUGGUUCAAUAGUGAAAGACGGUUUUGCUGUCACUUAUAGAUGGAUCCGCGCCGCAUUAGCUAGUUGGUAAGGUAACGGCUUACCAAGACAACGAUGCGUAGCCGACCUAAGAGGGUGAUCGGCCACACUGGAACUGAGACACGGUCCAGACUCCUACGGGAGGCAGCAGUAGGGAAUCUUCCGCAAUGGGCGAAAGCCUGACGGAGCAACGCCGCGUGAGUGAUGAAGGUCUUCGGAUCGUAAAACUCUGUUAUUAGGGAAGAACAAAUGUGUAAGUAACUAUGCACGUCUUGACGGUACCUAAUCAGAAAGCCACGGCUAACUACGUG